rnacentral:rRNA from 1 species
GAUGAACGCUGGCGGCGUGCCUAAUACAUGCAAGUCGAGCGAAUGGAUUAAGAGCUUGCUCUUAUGAAGUUAGCGGCGGACGGGUGAGUAACACGUGGGUAACCUGCCCAUAAGACUGGGAUAACUCCGGGAAACCGGGGCUAAUACCGGACAACAUUUUGAACCGCAUGGUUCGAAAUUGAAAGGCGGCUUCGGCUGUCGCUUAUGGAUGGACCCGCGUCGCAUUAGCUAGUUGGUGAGGUAACGGCUCACAAAGGCAACGAUGCUUAGCCGACCUGAGAGGGUGAUCGGCCACACUGGGACUGAGACACGGCCCAGACUCCUACGGGAGGCAGCAGUAGGGAAUCUUCCGCAAUGGACGAAAGUCUGACGGAGCAACGCCGCGUGAGUGAUGAAGGCUUUCGGGUCGUAAAACUCUGUUGUUAGGGAAGAACAAGUGCUAGUUGAAUAAGCUGGCACCUUGACGGUACCUGCAGAAAAAGCACCGGCUAACUACGUGCCAGCAGCCGCCGCUG